AUUGAACGCUGGCGGCAUGCCUUACACAUGCAAGUCGAACGGUAACAGGUUAAGCUGACGAGUGGCGAACGGGUGAGUAAUGUAUCGGAACGUGCCCAGUCGUGGGGGAUAACUGCUCGAAAGAGCAGCUAAUACCGCAUACGACCUGAGGGUGAAAGCGGGGGAUCGCAAGACCUCGCGCGAUUGGAGCGGCCGAUAUCAGAUUAGGUAGUUGGUGAGGUAAAGGCUCACCAAGCCGACGAUCUGUAGCUGGUCUGAGAGGACGACCAGCCACACUGGGACUAAGACACCGCCCAGACGCCGUCGGGAGCCAGCCGGGGGGAAUUUUGGACGAUGGGCGCAAGCCUGAUCCACCCAUGCCGCAUGCGGGAAGAGGGCUCUCGGGUUUUAAACCGCUUUUGUCAGGGAAGAAAAGGUUCUGGCCAAUACCUGAGACUCAUGACGGUACCUGAAUAAUACGCACCGGCUAACUACGUG
rnacentral:rRNA from 1 species